rfam:Cajanus cajan CcLG11_1009, whole genome shotgun sequence.
GCGAGGUGAUGAUAGAAAUUCAUUUAUCUGUCAAUCCGCUGAUAUUAGUGUGAUGUAUACAUGAAUCCCGACAGGUUCUGAUCGC